CGGUGUAGCUCAGAGGUAGAGCGUUUCCUUGGUAAGGAAGAGGCCACGGGUUCAAUUC
rnacentral:tRNA from 14 species